rnacentral:ncRNA from 1 species
UAACAACGAACUGCAAGAAGUCAGCAGAGGCCAUAGUACCAGGGGGAAAAAACCUGGGAAGGGC